AUUGAACGCUGGCGGCAGGCCUAACACAUGCAAGUCGAACGAGCGGCGGACGGGUGAGUAAUGUCUGGGGAUCUGCCUGAUGGAGGGGGAUAACUACUGGAAACGGUAGCUAAUACCGCAUAUUAUCCGAUCGACCGAUAACGGAUUAGCUAGUUGGUGGGGUAAAGGCCUACCAAGGCGACGAUCAGUAGCGGGUCUGAGAGGAUGAUCAGCCACACUGGGACUGAGACACGGCCCAGACUCCGACGGGAGGCAGCAGUGGGGAAUUUUGGACAAUGGGGGCAAGCCUGAUCCAGCCAUGCCGCGGGUAUGAAGAAGGCCUUAGGGUUGUAAAGUACUUUUGUCAGGGAAGCGGUACCUAAAGAAGAAGCACCGGCUAACUACGUGCCAGCAGCCGCGGUAAUAC
rnacentral:rRNA from 1 species